GCUGACGAGUGGCGAACGGGUGAGUAAUACAUCGGAACGUGCCCAGUCGUGGGGGAUAACUACUCGAAAGAGUAGCUAAUACCGCAUACGAUCUGAGGAUGAAAGCGGGGGACCUUCGGGCCUCGCGCGAUUGGAGCGGCCGAUGGCAGAUUAGGUAGUUGGUGGGAUAAAAGCUUACCAAGCCGACGAUCUGUAGCUGGUCUGAGAGGACGACCAGCCACACUGGGACUGAGACACGGCCCAGACUCCUACGGGAGGCAGCAGUGGGGAAUUUUGGACAAUGGGCGAAAGCCUGAUCCAGCAAUGCCGCGUGCAGGAUGAAGGCCUUCGGGUUGUAAACUGCUUUUGUACGGAACGAAAAAGCUCCUUCUAAUACAGGGGGCCCAUGACGGUACCGUAAGAAUAAGCACC
rnacentral:rRNA from 1 species